ACGAGUUACGGGUUUCUCUUCGGAGAGCCCGAACCUCCCAACCCUUUGUUUAUUCCAACCUUUUUGUUGCUUCGGCGGACCCGUCUGUUCGCGAGAACGAGACCGCCGGGGGAGAAAUCCUCUGGCCCGCGUCCGCCGAUGGCCCUGAUUUAAAACUCUUGAAAAUAACCAUGUCUAUUCUCUGAGUAACAAACACAAUUAAAUUA
rnacentral:misc_RNA from 1 species